rnacentral:misc_RNA from 1 species
GAUGAAGAACGUAGCGAAAUGCGAUAAGUAAUGUGAAUUGCAGAAUUCAGUGAAUCAUCGAAUCUUUGAACGCACAUUGCGCCCGCCAGUAUUCUGGCGGGCAUGCCUGUUCGAGCGUCAUUUCAACCCUCAGGCCCCCAGUGCCUGGUGUUGGGGAUCGGCGGAAGCCCCCUGCGGGCACAACGCCGUCCCCCAAAUACAGUGGCGGUCCCGCCGCAGCUUCCAUUGCGUAGUAGCUAACACCUCGCAACUGGAGAGCGGCGCGGCCACGCCGUAAAACACCCAACUUCUGAAUGUUGACCUCGAAUCAGGUAGGAAUACCCGCUGAACUUAAGCAUAUCAAUAAGCGGAGGA